GCCUAGUUAGCUUAAUUAGUAGUGCGUCUGCCUUGUAAGCGCUAGGCCGCGGGUUCGAUUCCCGCCCGGGGUG
rnacentral:tRNA from 1 species